UGCGAGAGUGAUGAGUUGCACAUUGGGUGGAGCUGAAGUGUCACGUGACACAGGCAUCACUCAGAACCUCCCUGGUGACAGAAACAAGUGCACAGGGGCCAUCUGACUCGCU